rnacentral:lncRNA from 1 species
UAGAUUAGUUUAACAUGUGAAAUGUCCGUAAAGUAUCAUCAUAUGAUUGGUUUUAGGGCACAUUUCCAACAGAGAGAUAAUACGACCGUUCAAGUAUAAAGUGUAACUCAUAUGUAGGUGCCUAUUGCUUUUGCAGAGAUCUUAGUGUCAUUCCCAACUCGCACAAUCAUCUCCCCAUUGCGCAGUGUCUUGCUCCCUGUUAGUCCCUGCAAAGAAUUGCAAAUAUGUUGACUAGCGCCUGAAUCAAAUAUCCAGGAAUUGGAGCUCACUGUAAAAGCACUCUCUAUGACAGAAAUAGUCCCUUCAAAAGUUCAUGUCAUAAGGCUCGCAAUGCGCACCCUGUAUUUAUUCUUCCAACGUUCAUCCUUUCCACAAUGAAAGCAUGUUCCUUCGGAUUUUAUUGCCUUCUUCUUACAUAACAUUUUCCUUGUGAUUGCAUUCUCACUCCUACUGUCCUUUUUGAAACCUUGUUCAAACUUACAGCACAUGUCAAUCAUCUCGGUAAAAGUAUGAUCGAAUCUAUUCACUUUAUAGUUUACAAUAAACUUAGUGAAAUAAUCCGAGAAAGAUGCAAGGAAAAAGUCUUGGGCUAUUUUCCCAUCGAUGGAAGUUCCUAAACUCUCAAGAUCUUAAAAGAUCCUUUCCAUCUUUUGUCCAUGUUUAUGGACCGAUGUUCCCUUUGCCAUUUUGGCAUUCAAUAGACUACAAACACUUGAGAAUCAUACAUUACUAGUCUCAAUUUCAUGCAUCUUAUGCAAACUUUCAACCAUGGCAUAAGAAGUGUCCAUGUGCUUAUGUAGCUUCAUAAGCUCCUCACUAAGUGAAGUGAGGAUUAAGCAUUUGGCUUGUAAGUCAUCCUCAUAGUGUCUAGCAUAAUUUUGACACUCCUUCUUUGAAGCUAGUUUCGUAGGAGGUACAUGAGGAGGGGAUUGCUUAAGCACAUACAAUAUGUCUUUCACCUUUGAAACAUUCUCAAUGUGGUGAUACCAAGCAAGGAAACGUUGGCCCCUAAGGCCCUUUUUGUCAAGUAUUAUGGUGGGUGUAAUUUUAGGCAUGUCGUUAACUACAUAACAUAACAGAAAUCAUAUUAGAUUGUUAAUUUUAAAACUACUUGAUUGGGUCUUAAAUCAAAUAGUACCACCCACUAUUUUUGGCAAAUUCCACAUCCCUCAAUGUAAUUUGAGAGUAAUGUUGAACUCUUAGCGGGGUAUGGGAGGCUCCCAUUACCAAGCCCACCUCACGAUGAUACGAUGUUGGUUAGCAAAAAUAAUGAUGAGAGAAUAACGCUUUAGUCAUUUACAACACUUGUAAUUACCUAUCUAGUUUGGCCUCUAGAAAAUGAUGCCUCAUAAUGAUAUGAUGUUGGCACCAUUGCACUUAGUUAAGUUAUUCCCAGCAUGCUAGUUCGUGUAGGGGUACAAGAUAGCCUCACAAUGAUAUGAUGUCGGCCAUCCUGGUUGCCUACCUCACCACAUCAUGUAUGUACAUAUGGACUCCUCCUGAAUGUAAGCACAUACUUUGAACUUCCCCAUGAUAGGGUGAAGCUAGUGUAGGAGUCACAAAUGAUUGGAGCCCACCAUGGUGGUGUUGGAAAUGUGCCCUAAAGCCAAUCAUGUGAUGAUACUUUACGGACAUUUCACAUGUUAAACUAAUCCAGUUUAACAUAUAAAGGGCAUACAUUAUUGUUUGAGCCGUCUCAUAUAAAUGUUAUAUGCUUAAACAAUAAAGUCCAAG